CCUACGGGAGGCAGCAGUGAGGAAUAUUGGUCAAUGGGCGAGAGCCUGAACCAGCCAAGUCGCGUGAAGGAUGAAGGAUCUAUGGUUUGUAAACUUCUUUUAUAUGGGAAUAAAGUGAGGAACGUGUUCCUUUUUGUAUGUACCAUAUGAAUAAGCAUCGGCUAACUCCGUGCCAGCAGCCGCGGUAAUACGGAGGAUGCGAGCGUUAUCCGGAUUUAUUGGGUUUAAAGGGUGCGUAGGUGGUUAGUUAAGUCAGUGGUGAAAGUUUGUGGCUCAACCAUAAAAUUGCCGUUGAAACUGGUUGUCUUGAGUAUAGUUGAGGUAGGCGGAAUGCGUGGUGUAGCGGUGAAAUGCAUAGAUAUCACGCAGAACUCCGAUUGCGAAGGCAGCUUACUAAACUAUAACUGACACUGAAGCACGAAAGCGUGGGGAUCAAACAGGAUUAGAUACCCUUGUAGUC
rnacentral:rRNA from 1 species